rnacentral:lncRNA from 1 species
ACACAAAUCAGUUUGAUGUUGGGACCGUCGUCGCAAGGUUUUUUGCUGUAGGGGCAACUGUUGCCGAGCACACUUCGAGGUAAGAAUCUUUCGUCUCAUAAGGUUUAUGUAUAUGCAAAUCAUGUAGCUAGCCAGUUGCGUUACCUAUGCGUCUCCCGUUCGAAAGAGUUACAUUAUUUAUAAAUAUGCAAGUUGCAUAUUUAUAAUCGUAACUCUUUCGAAUUGUCCAGCGUUUUCCACGGACAGCCCGAGGAUGUGUAGGCUGGCUUUGCUUUCAUGCACUACUCCAAUCCGACACAGAAUUUCGACAAUGUCUCCUCGAUGUUCUCCGGAUGCACAUUCUCUCUGCUUAUGUCGAGACGUGUAUUUGGAGAACAGCGGGGAGGUGCUGCCGAAAUUCUGUGUCGGAUCGGAGUAGGGCAUGAAAGCGAAGCCAGCCUACACAUCCUCGAGUGGGAUUAGGACCUAUCCUUACCUAUUAGGUAGUUUUGAGUUCAUGCCAUAAAACUUGAAUAGUUGUAAUUUGUUGAACUAAUACUGGAUGAAACAACUUGGUCAAUGAAAAACACAUCAGAUGGAGGAUCGUGAGUGGAUGUAUAGUGGACAGUUGAGUGGAGGGGGUGUGCUUCCAGAAUGGGUUACAAAGACAAAUCAGUUCUUCGAAGCAGCAUUUGCCAGGCACACGGGACAUGGUGGAGUUGUGUGCCCUUGCACCAGAUGGUGGAGUUUGACGAGUUGGACAUACCCUUGUACCACGUGUUGCUAGCCCUAUCCCCUCCGCCCAUUCCGAGGAGGAGUCGGAGGAGAGGGAGGAGGAGUUUGAGGAGGAGAGGGAGGAGCCAGUUUUGGAG